AAAUUGAAGAGUUUGAUCAUGGCUCAGAUUGAACGCUGGCGGCAGGCCUAACACAUGCAAGUCGAACGGUAACAGGAAGCAGCUUGCUGCUUCGCUGACGAGUGGCGGACGGGUGAGUAAUGUCUGGGAAACUGCCUGAUGGAGGGGGAUAACUACUGGAAACGGUGGCUAAUACCGCAUAACGUCGCAAGACCAAAGAGGGGGACCUUCGGGCCUCUUGCCAUCAGAUGUGCCCAGAUGGGAUUAGCUUGUUGGUGAGGUAAUGGCUCACCAAGGCGACGAUCCCUAGCUGGUCUGAGAGGAUGACCAGCCACACUGGAACUGAGACACGGUCCAGACUCCUACGGGAGGCAGCAGUGGGGAAUAUUGCACAAUGGGCGCAAGCCUGAUGCAGCCAUGCCGCGUGUAUGAAGAAGGCCUUCGGGUUGUAAAGUACUUUCAGCGGGGAGGAAGGUGUUGUGGUUAAUAACCGCAGCAAUUGACGUUACCCGCAGAAGAAGCACCGGCUAACUCCGUGCCAGCAGCCGCGGUAAUACGGAGGGUGCAAGCGUUAAUCGGAAUUACUGGGCGUAAAGCGCACGCAGGCGGUCUGUCAAGUCGGAUGUGAAAUCCCCGGGCUCAAC
rnacentral:rRNA from 1 species